rnacentral:antisense_RNA from 1 species
GUUGGCGGGAGGGGCGGCCGGCUCGCGGUGACCUCCAUGGGAGGGGGCCUCGCCCGCGGCUCAGGGCGCCCCCGGCUCCCUGCGCCCGGCCCUUCGCCUCCGCCGAACGCGCCAGCACAGGAAGGCGGCGGACAGGAGCCCCAGGCCCGCACUGAGCGCGGCUAGCGACGAGCCCUGGGCCAGGUCCAGGCGGGGUCCCCGCAGCGAGAAGGUGAUGGCCGUGGCAGCUGCACCAGCCAGCACGGCCACGGUACCGAACGGCAGAAUGCAGCGCGGCCACGCGCCCCCCGCGCCGCCGGUGGCCAAGAGCAGGGCACGCAGAGCCCCGGGGGGCUCCGGGUGCGCCAGACCCGGCCCGGGGGGCGAGGCGGGCGCCGCGGGGGGAGACUCGAGCGCGCUCAUGCCGCCAACGCGGUGGCCGCGCUCGGUGGGUGGUGUGGACGCCCGCGCAGUCCCAGUGGCGUUCCGAGCUCGCCACGUCAGAGCCUAUUGGCUCCAGAGGCGGUGACGCCAGCCGGGAGCCCGGGGAGUCAGCCGCUGCCUCUGGGUUUUGGCGGGGAAUCGGAGUGGGCGGGCGUUAAUCGGAGGAGGCGGCCUGUCUUUCCCGCCCUGGACUCCUGUGUCGGGGCCUCCUCAGGACCCCCACAGAGCUAUCUAGGCCGCCUCCCUGCUCCAGGACACCAGUGUCCUCUGGGUUGGCCCCGGGAUUGGUGGAUCAUUGAGUCAGUGCACGUCUGGCUCCCAUCAGGGCCUGGCCGGUGUAGGGGGGGAUAGCACCCCUGUCCUCCUGAGACAAACAUCAGUAGGCAUGGGGGAUGAGCCAUGAGCAAGUCAGCCAGUGAAAUAAGGUCAGGCAGAGACCACCUGCUCUGGAAAGCCACACGGGUACAGUCACAGCGUGGUUGGGGGUUUCAAAUGAGUCAGUGGCUCCUGCAGAUAGAGGCACCUGGGCAUAAGCCUGGAGGCAGCAAUGGGGUGGCUGGGAGGGGCGAGGCUGGCUGAUCUGCACAAGAGGUGCGACCCUGGGGCUGCUGCCAGGCUGCGGGGGCAGGGGGUGGAGCUGCUCUGUCCCUGGAGGCGCCCCCUCAAUGCAAUGAGGACCAUGGUUUUUGGUUUCCUGUCUUGGUCUCUGUCAUCUGGUCCCCAGCAGCCCUCAACUCGGGACUCUGGGUCCGAGUGUGUUUCUGGCCUGCUAGACUGUCAGGCCCUUUACAAGCAGGACCUACCUGCCACGCUUCAUCUGGCUCUCAGAAGACCCAGCUUUCUCCAGGUGUCACCCACCUCCUGUCCUGCUGCCCUGUCCAGGGGGGGCACCUUGGGGAAGAGGCUGGUAAUCUUCCCUGUCGUAGGUCCCUGCCCAGAGCUGUGCUUGGUGGAGCGCCGAUGCUGUCCGCACAUAGCACCCGGCCCCAGCUCCCAAAAUGUUUGGGAUGCCUCUGGGCCCUCCGUGCAGAUUCGUUUAAAGAACACUACGAGCACUGGCCUGUGGCCAGCAGUUUUUUUUUUGAGAUGGAGUCUCACUCUGUCACCCAGGCUGGGCGAUUUCGGCUCACUGCAACCUCCGCCUCCUGGGCUCAAGCGAUUCUCCUGCCUCAGCCUCCCAAGUAACUGCGAUUACAGACGCGGACUACCACGCCUGGCUAAUUUUUUGUAGUUUUAGUAGAGACGAGGUUUCACCAUGUUGGUCAGGCUGGUCUUGAUCUGACCUCGUGAUCCGCCUGCCUUGGCCUUCCAAAGUGCUAGGAUUACAGUCAUGAGCCACCGUGCCUGGCCUUUAGUUUUUAUAUUUUGAAUGGAGACAGGGUUUCAACAUGUUGGCCAGGCUGGUCAUGAACUCCUGACCUCAGGUGAUCCGCCUGCCUCAUCCUCCCAAAGUGCUGGGAUUACAGGUGUGAGCCACCACACCCAGCCUGUGGCCAGCACUUUAGAUGCAACAUCAAGUAAUCUCUAUGCCAGCCCCUGAGGUCAUCACCACCGUCAUCCAGCAUGACAGUGGGGACAAACCUGGACAACUGGGGCUGAGUCCUUGAGAAUCUUGCCCAGUCCCAGGGCAAGAAACAAGUCAUGUUGCAAACCCACCUCUGUGGCUGCAGAGGGCCCAACCCUGACCCCUGCUCUUUCCUGCCUUCCUGGGGAAGGGGGGGAGGUGAGAGUGGAGUGGCUAAAGGGUGAAGAGGUAAAAGGCCCUUCCUGGUGGAGGCUCAGUGUGAACCGGUGACCCCACACCUACCCCAGCACCAGCGCCAGGAGGGGGAGCUGGGCGUGGGCACCAGGAGACAGUGGGAAGCAGAGCUGUGUGGCGGUGGCAGAGGCAGUGGCCGGCCCAUUCUCCAAUAUGGCCUUGUGGUUUUCGUGUCGUCCGAUGAAUGUGUACAGCCUACAGCCUACAGAGGGCAGGGCUUUUGGCAGUGCUGGGCCUGCCUUGAGUGGCCUUGUCGAUAUACAGAAGGGAUAUCCCAGAGUCUCGCUCUGUUGCCCAGGCUGGAGCACAGUGGUGCAAUCACGGCUCACUGCAGGCUCAAAGUCCUAGGCUCAAGCAAUCCUCCCGCCUUAGCCUCCCAAGUAGCUGGGAUUACAGGCAGACACCCCAUGACCGGCUCAUUUUUAAAUUUUGUGUAGAGAUGGGGUCUCACUGUUGUUCAAACUGGUCUCAAACUCCUGGCCUCAAGCAAUUCUCCCACUUCAGCCUCCCCAAGUGCUGGGAUUACAGGCAUGAGCUACCACACCCGGCCCACUUACAAUCUUGAUAAAUACACUUGAUAUGUUCUUUUUCAGCAUGACAUGUAUCAACCAGUGAUAUAACUUGAUAAACAAAAUCAUAAAGAAACAACAAGAGCCCACCAAGUCCCACCUUGGCAUGAUUUAAAUACAUAUGCUUUCAACUGGGCGCAGUGCCUCACGCCUAUAAUCGCAGCACGUUGGGAGGGUAAGGUGGGAGGAUCACCUGAGGUCGAAACUUUGAGACCAGCCUGGCCAACAUAGUGAAACCCCGUCUUUACUAAAAAUUAAAAAAAAUAAAUAAAUAACCAGGCGCGAUGGCCGGAGCCUGUAGUCCCAGCUACUUGGGGGGCUGAGGCAGGAGAAUCGCCUGAACCCAGGAAGUGGAGGUUGCAGUGAGCCGAGAUCACGCCACUGCACUCUAGCCUAGGCGACAGAGUGAGACUGUCUCAAAAAAAUAAAUAAAUACAAAUGCUUUCUAAAGUG